CACGCCCUAAACGAUCUUGACUGGCUUCAAGGAGUAUCGACCCUCUUUGUGGCGAAGCUAACGCGUUAAGUCAAGCGCCUGGGAAUUACGAUCGCAAGAUUAAAACUCAAAGGAAUAGACGGGGACCUGCACAAGCGGUGGAUUAUGUGGUUUAAUUCGACGGUAAACGAAAAACCUCACCAGGGUUUGAAACCCAAGUGUAAGCUUUGUGAAAACUUAGCCCUCCGCAAGGACACUUGGACAGGUGA
rnacentral:rRNA from 1 species